GGAACUCUGGAUGCCGACUCACUGAAUAGUCCAUUCUCUCUAGCUCUCUCCGACUUCCAAUAUUCUCUUUUGUAUCAGUUCUUUCAAAUAAUACAACCCUACCACCACGAUCUCCAGUAGCAAGAUGGUCACCAGUUUUAUCGAACUCAAUUGCGGAGAUGAUAUCAACUUCCUGAACUUCUUCUCCGGCCGUACGUUCACCAAAUACC
rnacentral:misc_RNA from 1 species